rnacentral:tRNA from 1 species
UCCUCGGUAGCUCAAUAGGUAGAGCGGGUGGCUGUUAACCACUAGGUUGUAGGUUCGAGUCCUGCCCGAGGAGCCA